CCUACGGGAGGCAGCAGUAGGGAAUCUUCGACAAUGGGCGCAAGCCUGAUCGAGCAACGCCGCGUGAGUGAAGAAGGUUUUCGGAUCGUAAAACUCUGUUGUUGGAGAAGAACGUGCGCGAGAGUAACUGAUCGUCCAGUGACGGUAUCCAACCAGAAAGUCACGGCUGACUACGUGCCAGCAGCCGCGGUAAUACGUAGGUGGCAAGCGUUAUCCGGAUUUGUUGGGCGUAAAGCGAGCGCAGGCGGUUGCUUAGGUCUGAUGUGAAAGCCUUCGGCUUAACCGAAGAAGUGCAUCGGAAACCGGGCAACUUGAGUGCAGAAGAGGACAGUGGAAUUCCAUGUGUAGCGGUGGAAUGCGUAGAUAUAUGGAAGAACACCAGUGGCGAAGGCGGCUCUCUGGUCUGUAACUGACGCUGAGGCUCGAAAGCGUGGGUAGCGAACAGGAUUAGAUACCCGAGUAGUC
rnacentral:rRNA from 1 species